CACGUAGGGUGCGAGCGUUGUCCGGAAUUAUUGGGCGUAAAGAGCUCGUAGGCGGUGUGUCGCGUCGGCCGUGAAAACCUGCAGCUUAACUGUGGGCGUGCGGUCGAUACGGGCAUCACUGGAGUUCGGCAGGGGAGACUGGAAUUCCUGGUGUAGCGGUGAAAUGCGCAGAUAUCAGGAGGAACACCGAUGGCGAAGGCAGGUCUCUGGGCAUUAACUGACGCUGAGGAGCGGAAAGCAUGGGGAGCGAACAGG
rnacentral:rRNA from 1 species